ACUUUAUUUGUAUUUAUUUUUGGCACACAGGACUCUGAAGUCAUGACCCACCUCCUGGGGAUUCUCGAAUCACCACUUGGCCUUCCUCUCUGAGAUCCAAGAAACACUUUCUACGGACUAGUCUGCAUCUUUAUUUACAUACAUCCUAAUAAGAAAAAUGUGAAAAGUUGACUUAAGUUAGACCGAGGGAAAGGAAAGGGAUCAUUAUGGUCUCAGCAGAAGGCAUGGUUACUCUUAAGGUUUCCAAUAUGGCAGUUGUUCAAUGCCUUAGGGGGCAUCCUUGUGUUAGGGGCCCAUAGCACCUUGGUCAUAUAGCAUGACUAUCUUGCCUUCUGACCUGGCAGAUGUGAUGUGGCAUUCUCUCACACCACCUCAGUUUUUCUAGGCUAACAAUCCUGAGCGUUUUGCUUCAUAUAUGAUAGCUCUUGGGUGAUGUUCCUAUGAAAGAUGGACUCUUGUAUUCCUAGGUGACUCAUCCAGAAAGUCACACAUUGAACUUUUGCUUUUGUGACGUUUCUAAGAAGAAACAGGAACCAUACAUACAAACAAGGGAAGCAAUGGUAUAACCUAUGGGUAAAGAGACAUCUUAUCAACAGAAGGAACUGCAGAAGAGGAGCUGAGCCUGUUGGGGGUUUUCAGUCCUGUUGCUUCUUGCUGGGAAAGGAGGCCAGAGCCUGGAGCUGGGCAAAUCAUCUGCCAUCCAUCCACCACCCACCAUUUCUACCUACUCUUCAUUGUUGCUGUUUUUUUCUUUUUGGUGGGUCGGGGCAUAUGCAUGCCAUGGCAUGUGUGUGGAGGUCAGAAGACAAUCCUACAGAGCCAAUUCUUACUUGUCACCUUUGUGUGAGUUCUAGGGAUGAAACUCAGGUCACCACAGCAAAGGCCCUUUGUGUUAAACAUUUUUGCUGGCUCAUGGCUUAAUUUUUUCUAGUUGUAUGUAUGUUUAUAUAUCUGGGGGUGGGGUGGCAACAUGUAUGUACACAUGAGUGUAGUUGCUGAUGGAGAGCAGACAAGGGAGUUAGGUUCCCUGGGAGCUAGAGUUGCAAGAGGUUUUGAGCCACUAUGGUGGGAGCUAGGAACUGCCUCUGCAAGAGGUAUCUACACCCUUAACUACUGAGGCAACGCUCCAGUUCCCAUGCAUUUUCUUAAUAUAUGCUCUUAUCUUGCCUCUUUCCCACUUGUGUUUUGAUUUUCU
rnacentral:lncRNA from 1 species